UUUCCGUAGGUGAACCUGCGGAAGGAUCAUUAUCGAGUUCUGAUAAUUCAUUAUCAAACUUCAUCCUAUGUUUACAUACUUUGUAUACUUUGGCAAGACGCUUUGACUUGUAGUUGGAGUUUGACACUAGUUGAGCGACGCCACAAGAAAAAGCCACUGACGUUUCUUUAAAGAACUGUGAGUGUGUUUGCUUGCCAAAGGUCUUAACUCUUUUAUACUGUUGUCUGAGUACUACAAAAAUAAAUUAAAACUUUCAACAACGGAUCUCUUGGUUCUGGCAUCGAUGAAGAACGCAGC
rnacentral:misc_RNA from 1 species